UUAUUUUUAUUUGUUUUUUACUCAGACUGCAUUGAAAAUCGGAGUUUAGGGGUCUCUGGCAAGCACUAGCCGGCGAAACGCCGGCAUGAGGUGACCCCAAGGCCUGCCAAAGCAACAAAGGUAAGAUAUACAAAGGGUGAAGAGGGCGGGGCCGAAGCCGCGCACUGGAUCGUGUCCAGUUCUCUUUAAUGAUCCUUCCGCAGGUUCACCUACGGAAA
rnacentral:misc_RNA from 1 species